rnacentral:rRNA from 1 species
UUUUUUUUUGGAGAGUUUGAUCCUGGCUCAGGACGAACGCUGGCGGCGUGCUUAACACAUGCAAGUCGAACGGGGUGUUUAUUUCGGUAAACACCAAGUGGCGAACGGG